AUCCUUCUAAUAUACAAAGGUCUGUCUCUUUCUCUCACACAUAUUUGACAAACGUAUGCAUUCUUUGAUUUUUAGUUCCCUCACUGAUUUGAUGAACUGAUUCGGUGAGUCCACCUGACACAAGAGCAAUAAGAUAAACAUAUUUGGUUUUGAAAGAGUUGAAUAGAUUUCAUAGCUUUUGGGGUUUUUCAGUCACACAUGAACAAUCCCAUCGACUUUGAAGGUUCUUGACACACACACACGAUGACUUUGUGCUUUAGGGUUUUCUUUUGGGUUCCACAAACUUAUCGUGUUUCUGGACAGGUUUUAGGAUUUUAAGAUCAAAGUUGAACGUCUUUGCGAGUACAGCUCUUAUAAUAUUUGAUACAUGCAUAAGAGGAGAGGGGCGCUAUAUAUGUUUUGGCCUUCUGGGCGAACAAUUCAGAAAAGGGCGAAGUCUUUUCUCUUGAUUUUCUGAAGUUGUUAGGGGCACCGCAACACCUUUGUUCUUCGAGAAUACAUACAAACCCACACAUUUGGUCUCGGGUGAUUCAAAGAGACGGGGAUAAAAAGAAUGUGAUAAAUAUCUUCUUAAAUAGGUUCUAAUGCUAAUUUUAACAUUAGAUAUCUACUGAUGGAGGUGAGAUUCGUAGCCAUCAGUGACAUGAGAACACUUUCCUUCUAUAUGGCUUUCAUUUUGAAUCAUAUAAACCCAGAAACAAUGAUACACAUGUAGUUCUGGUUAAACCAGAAAAACAAUUAUUUUCAUGAUUUCACACAAAAGGAUUGGGUAGGGGACAAAUUAUUUUAUUUAUUUAUUUAUUUUAAUUAAAAUAGUAUUAUAAUAAUUAUAAAAAAUACAAAAAAGAAAAUAAAAGGGCAUAAUCAUUUUUUCAUGUUUUUUUGGACAAAUCACGAAGAUGUUUUGAUUUUGGACCUUCCAUGCAAAUGAAAAUGUUUUUUGGAUCCUAUCCAAAGUUUUUUGAAUAGCACAGGGACCAAUCUUACAGUUUUUUUUUCUC